GGAAAGGCGGACGGCAGUAGCAG
rnacentral:piRNA from 1 species